rnacentral:rRNA from 1 species
CCUACGGGUGGCAGCAGUGGGGAAUAUUGGGCAAUGGAGGAAACUCUGACCCAGCAACGCCGCGUGAAUGAUGAAGGUCUUCGGAUUGUAAAGUUCUUUUCUAAGGGAAGAAGAAAGUGACGGUACCUUAGGAAUAAGCCUCGGCUAACUACGGGCCAGCAGCCGCGGUAAUACGUAGGAGGCAAGCGUUAUCCGGAAUGACUGGGCGGAAAGGGCGCGUAGGUGGUUCAGCAAGUUAGUUGCGUAAUUCCGGAGCUCAACUUCGGCACUACUACUGAAACUGUUGGACUUGAGUGCAGGAGGGGAAACUGGAAUUUCUAGUGUAGCGGUGGAAUGCGUAGAUAUUAGGAAGAACACCGGUGGCGAAGGCGAGUUGCUGGACUGUAACUGACACUGAGGCACGAAAGCGUGGGGAGCAAACAGGAUUAGAUACCCCAGUAGUC